ACGCUGGUUUAGCAGAAAAAAAGAAACUAGCCCAUUACAAAUUGCCUGAAAGUAAGCCUCCCAGAUACCUACAAAGUGACCACCUCAGAACAGUACAGGACUUAAUGAAUAAUAGUUUCUAUAAAGCCCAAUAUGAACUAGUUGAGCAAUGUUUCAAGGUCAUAGGUUUUACAAUGGAGCAACUUGCAAGUAUAUACAGUAUACUGGCUGCAAUCUUGAAUGUUGGGAACAUUGAAUUUUCUUCUGUGGCAACUGAAUACCAGAUUGACAAGAGCCACAUUUUCCAAUCAUGGAGCUCUGGAGA